rnacentral:rRNA from 1 species
UCAGGCCUAACACAUGCAAGUCGUACGAGGUGUAAAUAAUUCACUUGUGAAUUGUUUAUUACUACAGUGGCGCACGGGUGAGUAACACGUAAGAACCUGCCUUUUGGAGGGGGAUAACAUAGGGAAACCUUUGCUAAUACCCCAUAAAGCUGAGGAGCUAAAUCGCAUUUGCGGCCAAGAGAGGGGCUUGCGCCUGAUUAGCUAGUUGGGGAGGUAAUGGCUUCCCAAGGCCACGAUCAGUAGUUGGUCUGAGAGGAUGAUCAGCCACACUGGGACUGAGACACGGCCCAGACUCCUACGGGAGGCAUCAGUGAGGAAUUUUCCGCAAUGGGCGAAAGCCUGACGGAGCAGUACCGCGUGAAGGAAGAAGGAUCGUGGUCUGUAAACUUCUUUUCUAGAGAAGAAGAU